AAACUAGGCAGCUGGCCUCGUGAAUGAACGAAGGAAGGAAGGACCGAAGGGACGAAAGGUUGAGUGAGUGAAGAGCGCGGGAAAGAAGGACCUCCGAGGGCCAAGGGCGGGGCGACACCCCCUCGUUCCCUCUCCCGGCCCCCCCCCCCCCCCCCCCGCCACGGCCUUGGCUGGCUCGCGCGCACAGUGGGGGCAGGGCCAGCCAAGGUAGAUGACGAGGCCGCAGCUGGUUUAGUUUAAGAGGCUCCGGCAGGGAGGGAAGGGGGCGAGUAUACAGGGGGCGUCCAGACCCCGCGGAGGAAGUGACUCACUCAGAAAACGCCACCGCCGACAACCCCCCUCGCAGCCGGAGGGAGGGGCGGGGCCUGGCCGGCCACGCCCCUGCCAGGCGCGGGGCCGGACCCUCGGGCUCCAAGCCGCCUGCCCCCGCCCCCCAUCCGCACCCCCUCACCUCUUGGCUUCGGGGGCCACCUCGCCCCGCACUCUGAGGCACUCGCCAGGUUUGAGAUUCAGGUUGCUGGCGACCAGACCCUGCAAAGACGAGACCACAACCAGCCGGGUUAGAGGACGCAGUGCCCGGGGGUGGGGCGGCGGGGUGGGGUCGUCCCCGCCCGGGAUCCUCUGACCCGGCCUGCGGAAAGCCUGGGGAAUCGGUAGCAAGUUCUAGACUCUUUCUCUGUGUGGUCCUGGGCAAGUGCCUGCUCCCAACCGGGUCCUUUUCCUAUCUGUAACACGACUGAGGUCGUAGAAGCCAAGAUCUGAAGUUUUUGCGGUUCGGCUUGAGGAUUUUGGAUUCAGAGUGGCUAUGCUCCAUCCCUUGGUUUAAUAGAUGGAGAGAAUCUGACUCGGAACGGGGCCACUGAGGCCCAGAAGAAAGAAGGCCCUUGUUCAAAGCCACACCCUGGGGACUAGAACCCAGAUCAUCUGCGCCUAAUCUCCUCUGCCCCCACGCCAUCCCUGGGCCUUGGAGCGGGGUCCCCGCACUCACGCAAGCCAUGACUGAGGACAGGAGGAUGUUCCUGCGGACUGCGGCACCAGCGGUCUCAAGACUCUAGGAGAGAGAUGGGCCCCCGGGGCCGCUCCCACCCUUUUAACUGGACCAGACUCCGGUGAGUCCCGCCCCCCUGGGCGCCCAACCAAUUGUAAGUCAGGACAGAGAAGGGGGCCCCACUGGAGGCGGAGUCAAUGGAAUUUUGAAGCCCUUCGGGAGCAGAGGUGACCAAUUGGAGCGGUAAACCCCCUUCUUCUUUAACCACUCCCCCCGGGGUCCAGGCUCCACCUCCCAUUCUCCUUCAUCCCUCCCCACCCCCCACCCAAAAAAUUGUGCUGUGGCAGGGAUUGGGGGAAGCCAAUGGAAAAUAGUUUGAGGAUGAGUUAGGCACGAGAGUUGGCGGGAAGGGGGCCUAGGGCCAGCAGGCCGAGCUCCGGGGGUAGCCAGAGAAGAUGGCUGAGGGGAUACAGGGUCCUUCAGGGAAUUAGAAUUGGGGUUCUUGAGGCUGCCCUGGCAGGGACCAGGGCGUGGCCGCGCUGCAAGGCCUCUGCAGAGAGCCCAGGACCAUUAACCACAAGGCCCUGGCCCCACCCGGGCCUCCCCCGGAAGCAGGGAUUGUGGCUGGUGUUCAGGCUUCUCGCUAGCGCUAAAGAAAGGCUGGGCAGGGUGCCAGGCCUGACGCUGCCUCCGGGGCUCAGGCCUCAGGCCUCAGGCCUCAGUCCUCCUGAGGGGCCUGCUGGGGAUCUUCCAAAAGCCCCUGCCUGACAGCCUCCUGCCUGAGAGUCAGGCCUGCGAGGCGGCCCGGGAUGGGCCGAGCGGUGAAGGGUUGGGGUCCCCCCUCUGAACAUCCCCCCCUUCUGCUCUCUUCCCAUCUGUCUCUCCAAGGCUAGGCACUGCCUUUUCUUUCUCUAGUCAUUUAGCACAUAUUUUACUGAGCAUCUACUAUGCGCUGGCCUGUGAGGAGUCAAAGGUGAACUCCAUCCAGCCCCUGCUUUCAGGUAGCACACUGCUGGGGCCGGACCUGGCCAUGAACCUGAGUAAGUAGCAUGUUGCUGGCUCUAAGGGGAGUCAUGAACAAGCACCGUGGUGCCAAGGAGACUGUCCGGAGUGUGAAGAAGGUGGGUUUUGAAGGACGGAUGAAGAAGGAGGGCCUGGCUUUCCAGCGUGAGCAAGGGCGCAGACCGGAACAGUGAACAUCUGGGCACGGCUGGAGUUUGGGGUAUGUUGGGGAAAGAUGGGGCAUGGGGCCAGGAGACCAACAGUACGUGGAUCAUGAAGGGCCUCUUUAAGGGGCUUGGGCAUUGUUUUAACUGAGGGUGCUGGGGAGCCAUAGAAGGUUAUAGGGAAGGUGAGUAUUGAGGACAGACACAAGUUACAGGGAAGAUCGCUGCAGCAAGAGUUGAGGGUGGAUUGGAGGGGUGCUCACCUCAUACCCAGGAGCCAGGAGGAGAGAGGGGGAUGGGGAGCACUAGGCAAGGUGGGGCACUUACUCGGAGAGUUGUCAUUGGGACCUCCUUCUCCGCAUUGCCAUCUCCCUUCUGAAAUUGCCAGCACCGAAGAUGUGGACCAGGAGAGACUCACAUCUGGAGGCCAGGCCCUCCGCUGCCCCCCCCUCCACCCCACCUUCCUCCGGAUGACUGAAGCCCACCCCUGGCACAGGAGGAGUGGGAAGAGGGGGGGCUCAUUGGGCCUCGACGCAGGCCACCCCCUGUCUGAGCCCAUCACCCCUCGGAGACCAAGCCUCCGAAACCAACCACAGCUGUUUCAGUUUUUCCUCCAGGGCCUCUCCUAAACCUCAACGCAGGGAGGGGGUGGGCGGAGCCAGUUCCGAGGCCUUUCCUGUGUGCUUCCCCUCCAAGGGCCACGGACACCCUCCGCCUGAUCAAGCAAUAGGGGCAUUUGAGGAGUCCUGGACCGAGGAGCAGAGGUGGUUCCGGCACAGUCCUUUCCUGGCUGCGUCGCGUGGGUCUGGCUGGCUGUCCCAGCCCAGCAGGUGGGCUCCCAGGGCAUCAAGAGCUGCUUCCCCCCUGCUUCCCCCAACUUGGAAGACAGGCCCAGCACCACGAAGCGUUUGCUGUUGGACGAGGGGCUGCUUUAUUCUGCAGGGUCUGGCCAGCUGAGGGCUGGUAGAGAAUCAGCAUGGCGUGGGGAACAGGCCUCCAGAAAGGCCCCUCUGGGAGUCUGGGGAGUUGGAAUCCGGUCCCAGCCCUGCCACGCCGCCCCCCAGGGCAUCCUGGCAAAUCAGUCUGCCCAUCUGUAAACUGGGGAGGUGAAACCCUGCUCUCCUACACAAGGUUGCUACGGGGUGGAAUUCAUGUCUGUUGCACUAAAUAGGUGAUUCCCCACCCCGACCCCUCCCCCCGCAAUCUCAGAAGGUUUUAGCUUCCCUCUUGUCUCUUUCUAGGCUGAGCUUACCUUUCUGGGGUCAACACCUCUGGGAAGUCUCCCUCUUACCCCCACCUGACCCCCAACAGUCCCUGCCUGCCUAUGCUGGAGCAGGGAGUCUCUCCAGAUUCCAGUGUCCCCUGUAACAGGGGUCAUGGUUUUCCCGGGUGGGGGCAGGGACCAGGUGCACUGUGUGUGCCGAGCUCCCGCCCAGUCCUCGGGGCCUCCUAGCGAUGGCACCCACUUAUCUGCCCGGCCCUGUGCCCGGCGCCUUGCUUUCAUACAUUAUCUCAUUUCAUCUACACCUCCCCUCUGCCUGAUGCUUGCCAGCUGGGAUGUACCGCACAGGGAAGCCGCUCCGGGCCCUGAAAUGAAUGAAGCUGGUGUCAGAAUCGGGAGAAGGGAGGCGAGUCCUAAUUUGGGGGCUGCCUGGCUGUGACUGCGGCCAAGGACCUUACCCUCGCUGAACCUGUUUCCAGGCCUGGAAAGUGGGAACGUUAGCAUUCACUGACUGGCUGCAGGAUUACAGAGGUGAUGUGUGGGGGGCUCCACAUUAGUUCUCUCUUCUGCACCCUCAAGGCCAAGGCUCCCCACCAGGGGGGCUCUCUUUCUCCCUCACUGCUCUGCAGCAGAGGCAGUGAACUCUCUGGAAUAUUCCCCCUUUCUAACAGGCAGCUCUACAGGCUGGACCUUGGCCGCUGCUGUUAGAAAUGAGCUCAGCACCUCUGGACAGGGGACCCAGGCCAGCGCGGCCCUUCCCAGACUGCCGACUCCUGCCCUGUCCUGCCCGCUCCUGCCCUGCCCAUGUGAAGGCAGUCCCUCCUCCAGCCGGCAGUGGCAGGGAGGGCUGCCAGACGCAUUGAAACACCAUCCACACCCCUCAGCCAACCUGACUGGCCCAGCCAGGGAUGGUGGAGGUGACCAGAGCAGGCUCCUAAGUCCUAGAAGUCAGAGCAGGAAACGACCCCAGAGAUUCUGCACCUGAUCUGCUCCCUCAUUUAAGGAUGGAGCAGAAGCCACCCAAAGAGACCGGCUACUUGGCCAAGGUCACACAGGGAGCUAGGGCUGAAGUGACUUCCGUCUAUGGAGCCAAAGAAAGAACGUGAUCCAGGGAUACCUGGACCUCAAAAACUGAUCUUUUCCGGGGCGCCUGGGUGGCUCAGUCGGUUAAGCGGCCGACUUCGGCUCAGGUCAUGAUCUUGCGGGUUUGUGGGUUCGAGCCCCGCGUCGGGCUCUGUGCUGACGGCUCAGAGCCCGGAGCCUGCUUCGGGUUCGGUGUCUCCUUCGCUCUCAGCCCCUCCCCCACUUGUGCUCGGACUCUCUCUCUCAAAACUACAUAAAUGUAAAAAACAA